UGGGCCGCUUACUCUUAAUCAUCUUCACACAGAUAUUCACACAGAAACCCUAACUGGCAGGGCACCAUCAGGUCUCUCGGUUGUAACAUUUCAUCACAAGAGCACAUCUUCAUCAUAAGCUUUUCACUCUCGCUUGAGAAUUUUUAAGCCGAAGCUUAAGGAGGUCCGAAUCGUGUUCGCGUUGCUUCGAUCGACUUUUCCUCAGGUCGUCUUCCAUCAACUUAUUGCUUCGAAGUUGUUGUCGGGGUGGAUGGCUUGCUUUACAGGAGUGUUGAGGCAGUGUGACAUUGUUAUAAGGUGAAGAAGAGCAGAGAGCAAUGAGUGUUCGGUCCAAAAACUUGAGCUCAGUAUUCUAUGCAGUUUCGUACCAUCCCAUUCAAGCUGACAGCAUCGACGACAUGGAUGUUGUUCCUCACGACAAUGUUGUUUAUCGUGCUUAACUUUGUUCCUCUAUUGGCCUCUAUCUGUUUUUCUUUUUCCUUCACUUUUUAAUAAAUUAUUACAAUUUUGGUUCCUUUCUAAC